rnacentral:lncRNA from 1 species
UGCCAAAUGUCCCAGCACCCUCCUGGGUGUGGCCGGCCUCCGCCUCCUGUCCCACUGCUGAGCUCCUGCUGCUGUGUCCCAGAGCCUCACAGCCCAGUUUGGGGGCAAAGAGCUGCUGACGGGGGCUUCAUGUGAACAGACUCACAGUGAGCAGGUCAAACCAAGGCAAGGAGGCGCUCGCUCUCUCUCUCUCUCUCGCUCUCUCUCUCUCUCUCUCUCUCUCACACACACACACACACACACACAGCUUCACCCAACACUAAAAUUACCUCUAUUACCUUGGUCCUUUUGGUCAUCCUCCUCGUCUGUCCCAAGCUAGGGACACCAAUCCCCUGCCCCCACCCUGAAUUGCCUUCCUGAAGCUUCAAGUGACCUUAGCUCUGACCUGAAGCAAACUGCCAAAGGGGGUCCCAGGGACUCCCCUCAGCACAGGCCAUGGCACUGGGGUCUCAUGGGGUGAGCUGCAGCUGGGGACCCAGCUCAGCCUGGGGAGCUGGUCCCACCCGGGUCCCAGGCCUACUCCAACCCGCUCCUCCCCAACAGGCAAGAGAUUCACACUUUCCAGAGUUUGGCAACAAAUUAAAAUCCCAACCCAACAAAACAGGAGUGGGUAGAGGGAGAGGAGAGCAAAUGAAAUGUUACCAAAAAAAAAAAA